rnacentral:rRNA from 1 species
UGGGUAGNCGCACGAGCGCACCCUUGUCAUUAGUUGCUACGAAAGGGCACUCUAAUGAGACUGCCGGUGACAAACCGGAGGAAGGUGGGGAUGACGUCAAGUCCUCAUGGCCCUUAUGGGUAGGGCUUCACACGUCAUACAAUGGUACAUACAGAGGGCCGCCAACCCGCGAGGGGGAGCUAAUCCCAGAAAGUGUAUCGUAGUCCGGAUUGUAGUCUGCAACUCGACUACAUGAAGUUGGAAUCGCUAGUAAUCGCGGAUCAGCAUGUCGCGGUGAAUACGUUCCCGGGUCUUGUACACACCGCCCGUCACACCAUGGGAGCGGGUUUUACCAGAAGUAGGUAGCUUAACCGCAAGGGGGGCGCUUACCACGGUAGGAUUCGUGACUGGGGUGAAGUCGUAACAAGGUAGCCGUAUCGGAAGGUGCGGCUGGAUCACCUCCUU